rnacentral:rRNA from 1 species
GACAGAGGUCCCGAGCGUUAGGCGGAAUCACUGGGCUUAAAGCGUGUGUAGGCGGGUCGUUAAGUGCCUUGUGAAAUCCCAUGGCUCAACCAUGGAACUGCUGGGCAUACUGGCGAUCUUGUGCCACCUAGGGGCGAGCGGAACAGAUGGUGGAGCGGUGAAAUGCGUAGAUAUGCGGAGGAACACCGAUGGCGAAGGCAAUCCCCUGGGCCUGCACUGACGCUCAUGCACGAAAGCGUGGGGAGCAAACAGG